UACGUAGGCAGCGAGCGUUGUUCGGAAUUAUUGGGCGUAAAGGGCGCGUAGGCGGCUUGGCAAGUGGAUGGUGAAAUCCCCUCGCUUAACCGGGAGGGUGCGCCGAAUACUGAGGGACUAGAGUACGGGAGAGGAAAGUGGAAUUCCUGGUGUAGCGGUGAAAUGCGCAGAUAUCAGGAAGAACACCCGUGGCGAAGGCGGCUCUCUGGGACGGUACUGACGCUGAGACGCGAAAGCGUGGGUAGCAAACAGG
rnacentral:rRNA from 1 species